GGCACCAUGGCCUAAUGGUAAGGCGUUGCUUUCCGGUGGCAAAGACUGUGGGUUCGAGUCCCACUGGUGUCG
rnacentral:tRNA from 1 species